ACUCAAAGAACAACUUUAUUGAAAAUCUGAAAAAAACAAAUCAAACCCAUAUGGGUUAGAAUUCAAAUUUGAGAUCUAAAUCAGUCAUGUCCACCCUCGACAAAUUUGUUGUUCAUGUUCUUUUCUAUACGAUUAUACUCUUCUUCAAAUCACUGGGAAAACAAAUGAAAGAAGCACAAAUGCCUUCUUAAGACGGUCCGAUUGUUUUAGAGGAUUUUUGUUGGGCAAGUUCUGACCUCCAUAACAAUAAUUAGCAAAGGUAGUAUAUGUUAGCAAGAUCUGACCUUCUGGAUUUUGUUUCAGGUCGGAAAAAAAUUUACUUAUAAAUCAACU
rnacentral:lncRNA from 1 species